rnacentral:rRNA from 1 species
GAUGAACGCUGGCGGCGUGCCUAAUACAUGCAAGUCGAGCGAGCAGACGAGGAGCUUGCUCCUCUGACGUUAGCGGCGGACGGGUGAGUAACACGUGGAUAACCUACCUAUAAGACUGGGAUAACUUCGGGAAACCGGAGCUAAUUCCGGAUAAUAUAUUGAACCGCAUGGUUCAAUAGUGAAAGACGGUUUUGCUGUCACUUAUAGAUGGAUCCGCGCCGCAUUAGCUAGUUGGUAAGGUAACGGCUUACCAAGGCAACGAUGCGUAGCCGACCUGAGAGGGUGAUCGGCCACACUGGAACUGAGACACGGUCCAGACUCCUACGGGAGGCAGCAGUAGGGAAUCUUCCGCAAUGGGCGAAAGCCUGACGGAGCAACGCCGCGUGAGUGAUGAAGGUCUUCGGAUCGUAAAACUCUGUUAUUAGGGAAGAACAAAUGUGUAAGUAACUAUGCACGUCUUGACGGUACCUAAUCAGAAAGCCACGGCUAACUACGUG